GAUGAACGCUGGCGGCGUGCCUAAUACAUGCCAGUCGAGCGAACAGACGAGGAGCUUGCUCCUCUGACGUUAGCGGCGGACGGGUGAGUAACACGUGGAUAACCUACCUAUAAGACUGGGAUAACUUCGGGAAACCGGAGCUAAUACCGGAUAAUAUAUUGAACCGCAUGGUUCAAUAGUGAAAGACGGUUUUGCUGUACCUUAUAGAUGGAUCCGCGCCGGAUUAGCUAGUUGGUAAGGUAACGGCUUACCAAGGCAACGAUGCGUAGCCGACCUGCGAGGGUGAACGGCCACACUGGAACUGAGACGCGGUCCAGACUCCUACGGGAGGCAGCAGUAGGGAAUCUUCCGAAAUGGGCGAAAGCCUGACGGAGCAACGCCGCGUGAGUGAUGAAGGUCUUCGGAUCGUAAAACUCUGUUAUUGGGGAAGAACAAAUGUGUAAGUAACUAUGCUCGUCUUGACGGUACCUAAUCAGAAAGCCACGGCUAACUACGUG
rnacentral:rRNA from 1 species